AGUUGAUCUGGCUCAGGAUGAACGCUAGCUACAGGCUUACACAUGCAAGUCGAGGGGCAGCAUGAGAUUAGCUUGCUAAUCUUGAUGGCGACCGGCGCACGGGUGCGUAACGCGUAUCCAAUCUACCCAUGGCUUGGGGAUAGCCUUUCGAAAGAAAGAUUAAUACCCAAUGGUCUGUGUCGGGGACAUCCCUGUCACAGUAAAGAUUUAUCGGCGAUGGAUGAGGAUGCGACUGAUUAGCUUGUUGGCGGGGUAACGGCCCACCAAGGCGACGAUCAGUAGGGGUUCUGAGAGGAAGGUCCCCCACACUGGAACUGAGACACGGUCCAGACUCCUACGGGAGGCAGCAGUGAGGAAUAUUGGUCAAUGGGCGGAAGCCUGAACCAGCCAAGUAGCGUGAGGGAUGACGGCCCUACGGGUUGUAAACCUCUUUUAUGCGGGGAUAAAAAAGGCCACGUGUGGCCUCUUGCAGGUACCGCAUGAAUAAGGACCGGCUAAUUCCGUGCCAGCAGCCGCGGUAAUACGGAAGGUCCGGGCGUUAUCCGGAUUUAUUGGGUUUAAAGGGAGCGCAGGCGGAGAGCCAAGUCAGCCGUCAAAUGUCCGGGCUCAACCCGGGCUCGCGGUUGAAACUGGCUCCCUUGGGUGUGCAAGAGGUAGGCGGAACUCGUGGUGUAGCGGUGAAAUGCAUAGAUAUCACGAAGAACUCCGAUUGCGAAGGCAGCCUACUGGGGCAUUACCGACGCUCAUGCUCGAAGGUGCGGGUAUCAAACAGGAUUAGAUACCCUGGUAGUCCGCACAGUAAACGAUGGAUGCUCGCGGUGCGCCCGCCUCAGGGUACGCCGCCAAGGGAAACCGUUAAGCAUCCCACCUGGGGAGUACGCCGGCAACGGUGAAACUCAAAGGAAUUGACGGGGGCCCGCACAAGCGGAGGAACAUGUGGUUUAAUUCGAUGAUACGCGAGGAACCUUACCCGGGCUUGAAAUGUGAGCGACAGGCGGCAGAGACGCCGCCCUCCUUCGGGCGCUCAUGUAGGUGCUGCAUGGUUGUCGUCAGCUCGCGCCGUGAGGUGUCGGCUCAAGUGCCAUAACGAGCGCAACCCCUUCUGCCGGUUACCAUCGCUUCGGGCGGGGACUCCGGCAGUACUGCCGCCGCAAGGCGUGAGGAAGGUGGGGAUGACGUCAAAUCAGCACGGCCCUUACGUCCGGGGCCACACACGUGUUACAAUGGGGGGCACAGAAGGCAGGACCUUGCCGACAAGGUUCGAAUCGAGAAUCCCCUCCCAGUUCGGACUGGAGUCUGCAACCCGACUCCACGAAGCUGUA
rnacentral:rRNA from 1 species